GAAAAUAGAAGGAAAACACACUGGCUCGCUUGGGAUAAACUAACCAGACCAAAAGGAGAGGGCGGUAUGGGUUUUCACGAUCUUAGACUGUUUAAUCAAGUUCUCAUUGCAAAGCAGGCUUGGCGGAUUUUGGUGUUCCUAGAGUCAUUAGUUGCAAGGGUGUUGAAGGCCAAGUAUUACCCCCAUGGACAUCUACUGGACACUGUGUUUCUGCAGUCGACAUCGGUUACAUGGCAAGGUAUUAUGCAUGGUUUGGAUUUUUUUUAUUUGGAGAGUGGUCGAUGGAACAAAUAUUAA
rnacentral:rRNA from 1 species